rnacentral:rRNA from 1 species
CAGCUCAAAGUGGGUGGUAAAUUCCAUCUAAAGCUAAAUAUUGGCGAGAGACCGAUAGCGAACAAGUACAGUGAUGGAAAGAUGAAAAGAACUUUGAAAAGAGAGUGAAAAAGUACGUGAAAUUGUUGAAAGGGAAGGGCAUUUGAUCAGACAUGGUGUUUUUUGCAUGCACUCGCCUCUCGUGGGCUUGGGCCUCUCAAAAAUUUCACUGGGCCAACAUCAAUUCUGGCAGCAGGAUAAAUCAUUAAGAAUGUAGCUACUUCGGUAGUGUUAUAGCUUUUUGGAAUACUGUUAGCCGGGAUUGAGGACUGCGCUUCGGCAAGGAUGUUGGCAUAAUGGUUAAAUGCCGC